rnacentral:rRNA from 1 species
UACGUAGGGACCAAGCGUUGUUCGGAUUUACUGGGCGUAAAGGGCGCGUAGGCGGCUUGUCAAGUCACUUGUGAAAUCUCUGGGCUUAACCCAGAACGGCCAAGUGAAACUGACAUGCUAGAGUGCAGAAGGGGCAAUCGGAAUUCUUGGUGUAGCGGUGAAAUGCGUAGAUAUCAAGAGGAACACCUGAGGUGAAGACGGGUUGCUGGGCUGACACUGACGCUGAGGCGCGAAAGCCAGGGGAGCGAACGGG